rnacentral:rRNA from 1 species
UACGGAGGGGGCUAGCGUUGUUCGGAAUUACUGGGCGUAAAGGGCGCGCAGGCGGCUGCUCAAGUCAGGCGUGAAAGGCCUGGGCUCAACCCGGGAAUUGCGCUUGAGACUGGGCUGGCUUGAGUGCGGGAGAGGAUGGUGGAAUUCCCAGUGUAGAGGUGAAAUUCGUAGAUAUUGGGAAGAACACCGGUGGCGAAGGCGGCCAUCUGGACCGCAACUGACGCUGAGGCGCGAAAGCAUGGGGAGCGAACAGG